GAUGAACGCUGGCGGCGUGCUUAACACAUGCAAGUCGAACGAAGCACUUUAUUUGAUUUCCUUCGGGACUGAUUAUUUUGUGACUGAGUGGCGGACGGGUGAGUAACGCGUGGGUAACCUGCCUUGUACAGGGGGAUAACAGUUGGAAACGGCUGCUAAUACCGCAUAAGCGCACAGCAUCGCAUGAUGCAGUGUGAAAAACUCCGGUGGUAUAAGAUGGACCCGCGUUGGAUUAGCUAGUUGGUGAGGUAACGGCCCACCAAGGCGACGAUCCAUAGCCGACCUGAGAGGGUGACCGGCCACAUUGGGACUGAGACACGGCCCAAACUCCUACGGGAGGCAGCAGUGGGGAAUAUUGCACAAUGGGCGAAAGCCUGAGGCAGCGACGCCGCGUGAGCGAAGAAGUAUUUCGGUAUGUAAAGCUCUAUCAGCAGGGAAGAUAAUGACGGUACCUGACUAAGAAGCACCGGCUAAAUACGUG
rnacentral:rRNA from 1 species